AAUGGCUGCUAAGGAAGAACUGAAACUCACACUCCAAAAUACUGUGGCCAAGGAAACAAACAAAAAAAAGCAAGAACAACCUCAAACUAAAAGCGAAAGAAACAACACACAAUGAUCUUUUUCAAAACUAAACAAACAAGCAAGCAAGCAAACAAACAAAACCACAAAACAGCUCUUCAGGGAAGUAUUUCAUUUUUUUUUGUUCACUACUCAAAAAAUCAAGUCAACUUUUCAUUUAUUUUUCUGUUUGAUCAUCUUCUCUUUUCUUUCUCCUCUCCUUCUACCUUCUACUUCUUCAGUGACCAUGAAAAUAUCGAGAAUAAGAGAAGAAAAAAAAAAAACAGAGGAAAAGGACAAAAAGAAGACAAACAAGUAAAAACUAAAAAAAAAAGCAAAAUCUUUGCAGGAGUUCUGACCACAUUCUAUGACCUUUGGAAUGUAAAUGACUUCAGUGGGCUCUGUGCCCUCUGAUUUUGACCCCCAGUAGAAGCAGGGCAUGGAGAACUACUACAUGAGCCAAUAUAUCCUGUUAGCAAGAUGGCCAAGGUCAACUGGAGUGGGGCUUACUCAGAAGCACGAUGGGCCUUGGUUAAAAAGUCCUGGAUGCAGUGUACAAGACCUGCAUAGCUUUUCUGAUCACAGUAUCACAGUGACUUUAUCACUGUCACCUCCUCAUUGUGAACCGGCCCAUCCCUUGGAGGCAGAGAGUCAUUGUGGAGGUGGUGUCAGAGCAGGCUGAGGGAGGCAACAUGGGGCACGGCCACAAGUGAGCCAUGGGCUGUGGUAUCCCACUGCAGGGCAGGGAUCCUCUACCAGCAGAGGGGGCUGCAGAGCCAAAAAGCCUCCAAUCCACCCCUCUGCCCCUCUGAGCGCCCUGCAAUAUGCUCAAUUUCAGUCAUUCCUGGCACUCGGCUCUUCUGUUGUUCGUUCUACAAUUCUGAACUACCUUAAAAGGAGACACCUUCGGUUUGGUUCAGAUACAUAAUUCGUGCCGUGUCCAUAGAUUUGUUUCUCUUACAGCGUGCCAUCACGUUACUAUCCCCAGAAAUGUUUGAUUCUUUUUCUUUUUAAAUGCCAGUAACAGAUUUGGGGUAUGCGUAGCUAUAUACAUACACAGUUAGUAUGAAAGUCGGGUCCAUGAUAGCACUGGAUAUACACACAUCUCAGUUAGCGGUGCUUUACAGAAGGCAGCACAAAGCUGUCUGUGACUAUGGCUUGUUUUUAAAAAAAAAAUAACCCUUUACUGAUAAAGUAAUGAAUAAUGUAUCUAAAUAAAUAAAAAGCGAAAUACUU
rnacentral:lncRNA from 7 species